CUGGUUUCCUUUAUUUCUGGGGAUAUGCGCGAAGAGUUUAGGAAGAACUUACGUAGACAUUAAAAUACAGUUACCAAUAUUAGGAUUAAAGGUUACAGGUUCAGUUAGUGUUUGGUUUGGGCUUCAUACAAAUCUAGCAUUUUCGCAUUUUCGCAUUUGCUAUCUUAUUGGGCUUCUUUGGUUAAUAUUUGGCAAACGAAAUUUCGACUGAACUACGAUCUACAAUGGUGCUCUAUACGGCCAUUCCACUACUUGUUCUCGAUGAUCAUCUGCAGCUGGAGGACCAGACUCCGGGCCAACUGCAGCACCGACUGGGCAUUGUGACGUUCGGCCAUUUCUGAAAAAACUUGAUGACAUCGGUGAAGUCCAUGCUGUUGGACAGGAUGAUGUCGCGGUAGGUCUCCAGCAGGGCCAGGGCCAAAAAGAGGACGAAGUGGCCGGAGGCGAUGUGCUUGGCCGCCCAGAUCACCUCCCAGGUG